UUAAGCGACUAAGCGUACACGGUGGAUGCCCUGGCAGUCAGAGGCGAUGAAGGACGUGCUAAUCUGCGAAAAGCGCCGGCGAGGUGAUAUGAACCCUUGACCCGGCGAUGUCCGAAUGGGGAAACCCAGUGUGAUUCGUCACACUAUCGUUAACUGAAUACAUAGGUUAACGAGGCGAACCGGGGGAACUGAAACAUCUAAGUACCCCGAGGAAAAGAAAUCAACCGAGAUUCCCCCAGUAGCGGCGAGCGAACGGGGAGCAGCCCGGAGUCUGAAUCAGCUUGUGUGUUAGUGGAACGGUCUGGAAAGUCCGACGGUACAGGGUGAUAGUCCCGUACACGAAAGCACACUUGCUGUGAACUCGAAGAGUAGGGCGGGACACGUGGUAUCCUGUCUGAAUAUGGGGGGACCAUCCUCCAAGGCUAAAUACUCCUGACUGACCGAUAGUGAACCAGUACCGUGAGGGAAAGGCGAAAAGAACCCCGGCGAGGGGAGUGAAAAAGAACCUGAAACCGUGUACGUACAAGCAGUGGGAGCACCUUCGUGGUGUGACUGCGUACCUUUUGUAUAAUGGGUCAGCGACUUAUAUUCUGUAGCAAGGUUAACCGUAUAGGGGAGCCGAAGGGAAACCGAGUCUUAACUGGGCGUUAAGUUGCAGGGUAUAGACCCGAAACCCGGUGAUCUAGCCAUGGGCAGGUUGAAGGUUGGGUAACACUAACUGGAGGACCGAACCGACUAAUGUUGAAAAAUUAGCGGAUGACCUGUGGCUGGGGGUGAAAGGCCAAUCAAACCGGGAGAUAGCUGGUUCUCCCCGAAAGCUAUUUAGGUAGCGCCUCGUGAACUCAUCUUCGGGGGUAGAGCACUGUUUCGGCUAGGGGGCCAUCCCGGCUUACCAACCCGAUGCAAACUACGAAUACCGAAGAAUGUUAUCACGGGAGACACACGGCGGGUGCUAACGUCCGUCGUGAAGAGGGAAACAACCCAGACCGCCAGCUAAGGUCCCAAAGUCAUGGUUAAGUGGGAAACGAUGUGGGAAGGCACAGACAGCCAGGAUGUUGGCUUAGAAGCAGCCAUCAUUUAAAGAAAGCGUAAUAGCUCACUGGUCGAGUCGGCCUGCGCGGAAGAUGUAACGGGGCUAAACCAUGCACCGAAGCUGCGGCAGCGACACUAUGUGUUGUUGGGUAGGGGAGCGUUCUGUAAGCCGUUGAAGGUGUGCUGUGAGGCAUGCUGGAGGUAUCAGAAGUGCGAAUGCUGACAUAAGUAACGAUAAAGCGGGUGAAAAGCCCGCUCGCCGGAAGACCAAGGGUUCCUGUCCAACGUUAAUCGGGGCAGGGUGAGUCGACCCCUAAGGCGAGGCCGAAAGGCGUAGUCGAUGGGAAACAGGUUAAUAUUCCUGUACUUGGUGUUACUGCGAAGGGGGGACGGAGAAGGCUAUGUCAGCCGGGCGACGGUUGUCCCGGUUUAAGCAUGUAGGCGGAGGUUCCAGGUAAAUCCGGUACCUUAUUAACGCUGAGGUGUGAUGACGAGGCACUACGGUGCUGAAGUGAUAAAUGCCCUGCUUCCAGGAAAAGCCUCUAAGCAUCAGGUAACACGAAAUCGUACCCCAAACCGACACAGGUGGUCAGGUAGAGAAUACCAAGGCGCUUGAGAGAACUCGGGUGAAGGAACUAGGCAAAAUGGUGCCGUAACUUCGGGAGAAGGCACGCUGAUGUGUAGGUGAAGUCCCUGCGGACGGAGCUGAAAUCAGUCGAAGAUACCAGCUGGCUGCAACUGUUUAUUAAAAACACAGCACUGUGCAAACACGAAAGUGGACGUAUACGGUGUGACGCCUGCCCGGUGCCGGAAGGUUAAUUGAUGGGGUUAGCUGUAAGGCGAAGCUCUUGAUCGAAGCCCCGGUAAACGGCGGCCGUAACUAUAACGGUCCUAAGGUAGCGAAAUUCCUUGUCGGGUAAGUUCCGACCUGCACGAAUGGCGUAAUGAUGGCCAGGCUGUCUCCACCCGAGACUCAGUGAAAUUGAACUCGCUGUGAAGAUGCAGUGUACCCGCGGCAAGACGGAAAGACCCCGUGAACCUUUACUAUAGCUUGACACUGAACACUGGUCCUUGAUGUGUAGGAUAGGUGGGAGGCUUUGAAGCGUGGACGCCAGUCUGCGUGGAGCCGUCCUUGAAAUACCACCCUUUAAUGGCUGGUGUUCUAACGUAGACCCGUAAUCCGGGUUGCGGACAGUGUCUGGUGGGUAGUUUGACUGGGGCGGUCUCCUCCCAAAGAGUAACGGAGGAGCACGAAGGUUGGCUAAUCCUGGUCGGACAUCAGGAGGUUAGUGCAAUGGCAUAAGCCAGCUUGACUGCGAGCGUGACGGCGCGAGCAGGUGCGAAAGCAGGUCAUAGUGAUCCGGUGGUUCUGAAUGGAAGGGCCAUCGCUCAACGGAUAAAAGGUACUCCGGGGAUAACAGGCUGAUACCGCCCAAGAGUUCAUAUCGACGGCGGUGUUUGGCACCUCGAUGUCGGCUCAUCACAUCCUGGGGCUGAAGUAGGUCCCAAGGGUAUGGCUGUUCGCCAUUUAAAGUGGUACGCGAGCUGGGUUUAGAACGUCGUGAGACAGUUCGGUCCCUAUCUGCCGUGGGCGCUGGAGAAUUGAGGGGGGCUGCUCCUAGUACGAGAGGACCGGAGUGGACGCAUCACUGGUGUUCGGGUUGUCAUGCCAAUGGCACUGCCCGGUAGCUAAAUGCGGAAGAGAUAAGUGCUGAAAGCAUCUAAGCACGAAACUUGCCCCGAGAUGAGUUCUCCCUGAGACUUUAAGUCUCCUGAAGGAACGUUAAAGACGAUGACGUUGAUAGGUCGGGUGUGUAAGCGCAGCGAUGCGUUGAGCUAACCGAUACUAAUGAACCGUGAGGCUUAACCUU
rnacentral:rRNA from 2 species